CACUCCUACGGGAGGCAGCAGUGGGGAAUUUUGGACAAUGGGCGAAAGCCUGAUCCAGCAAUGCCGCGUGAGUGAAGAAGGCCUUCGGGUUGUAAAGCUCUUUUGUCAGGGAAGAAACGGUGAAAGCUAAUAUCUUUUGCUAAUGACGGUACCUGAAGAAUAAGCACCGGCUAACUACGUGCCAGCAGCCGCGGUAAUACGUAGGGUGCAAGCGUUAAUCGGAAUUACUGGGCGUAAAGCGUGCGCAGGCGGUUUUGUAAGUCUGAUGUGAAAUCCCCGGGCUCAACCUGGGAAUUGCAUUGGAGACUGCAAGGCUAGAAUCUGGCAGAGGGGGGUAGAAUUCCACGUGUAGCAGUGAAAUGCGUAGAUAUGUGGAGGAACACCGAUGGCGAAGGCAGCCCCCUGGGUCAAGAUUGACGCUCAUGCACGAAAGCGUGGGGAGCAAACAGGAUUAGAAACCCGGGUAGUCC
rnacentral:rRNA from 1 species